rnacentral:rRNA from 1 species
UACAGAGGUCUCAAGCGUUGUUCGGAUUCAUUGGGCGUAAAGGGUGCGUAGGCGGCGCGGUAAGUCGGGUGUGAAAUCUUGGAGCUUAACUCCGAAACUGCAUUCGAUACUGCCGUGCUUGAGGACUGGAGAGGAGACUGGAAUUUACGGUGUAGCGGUGAAAUGCGUAGAUAUCGUAAGGAAGACCAGUGGCGAAGGCGGCUCACUGGCCCGGUACUGACGCUGAGGUGCGAAAGCGUGGGGGAGCAAACAGG